AGUGAACGCUGGCGGUAGGCCUAACACAUGCAAGUCGAACGGCAGCACAGUAAGAGCUUGCUCUUAUGGGUGGCGAGUGGCGGACGGGUGAGGAAUACAUCGGAAUCUACUUUUUCGUGGGGGAUAACGUAGGGAAACUUACGCUAAUACCGCAUACGACCUACGGGUGAAAGCAGGGGAUCUUCGGACCUUGCGCGAUUGAAUGAGCCGAUGUCGGAUUAGCUAGUUGGCGGGGUAAAGGCCCACCAAGGCGACGAUCCGUAGCUGGUCUGAGAGGAUGAUCAGCCACACUGGAACUGAGACACGGUCCAGACUCCUACGGGAGGCAGCAGUGGGGAAUAUUGGACAAUGGGCGCAAGCCUGAUCCAGCCAUACCGCGUGGGUGAAGAAGGCCUUCGGGUUGUAAAGCCCUUUUGUUGGGAAAGAAAAGCAGCAGGUUAAUACCCCGCUGUUCUGACGGUACCCAAAGAAUAAGCACCGGCUGACUUCGUG
rnacentral:rRNA from 1 species